GCCUGAAAAAAUUUUAGGCGAUCAGGGUCUGGGGUUCCCUGGACCACUUGGAAGGCGUGGGUAUAGCACACGAAAAUAUGGGAAUCGGGCAGAAUUCUAGUUUUUUGGCCGAAAAAUGCAAAAAAUGAGGAACAAUCAUGGCGGGGAGGUGAGUAUGGUUCCUUAGGUCUUAUUGGAUGGCCAUUUUAGGUGAUCCGAGUCAGGGGGCGGCCCACUCGGAAGGCGUGGGCUAUAGCACACGAAAUUAUGGGAAUCGGGAGGAAUACUAGUUUUUUGGCCGUAAAAUGCAAAAAAUGAGGAUCGAUCAUGGCGGGGUGGUGACUAUGGUUCCUUAGGUUGUAUUUGAUGGCCCAGAAAUGUUUUCGGCGAUCGGGGUCCAGGAGUCCUGGGACCACUUUGAAGACGUGGGCUAUAGCAUAUGAAACUAUGGGAAUCGGGCGGAAUUCUAAUUUUUUGGCCGAAAAACGCAAAAAAGUGAGGAACAAUCAUGGCGGGGCGGUGACUAUGCUUCCUUAGGUCAUAUUUAAUGGCCCGGAAAAAUUUUAGACGUUCCAAGUCUGGGGGGUCCGGCCCACUCCAAAGGUGUGGGCACACAUGAAGAUAUGGGAAUCGGGCGGAAUUCUAGUUUUUUCGCUGAAAAGUGCAAACAACUAGGAACGAUCAUGGCGGGGCAGUGACUAUGCUUCCUUAGGUCGUAUUUGAUGGCCUGGAAAAAUUUUAGGCGAUCGGGGUCCGGGGUUCCCGGGACCACUUGGAAGGGGUGGGUAUAGCACACGAAAAUAUGGGAAUCGGGCAGAAUUCUAGUUUUUUGGCAGAAAAAUUCAAAAAAAGAGGAACGAUUAUGGUGGGGAGGUGAGUAUGGUUCCUUAGGUCUUAUUGGAUGGCCAGA
rnacentral:lncRNA from 1 species